GUUUCUGUAGUUGAAUGCAACAACGGUUUUUCAGGCCGUAGGUCUUGGUUGAAGUCCAGGUAGAAACA